UUAAAGAGCCGCGGUAUUUUGACCGUGCGAAGGUAGCAUAAUAAUUAGUCUCCUAAUUAGAGGCUUGUAUGAAUGGUCGGACAAGAUGGAAACUGUCUCAAUACAAUAAAUAAAAUUUAAUAUUUAAGUAAAAAAGCUUAAAUAAUAUGGAGGGACGAUAAGACCCUAUAAAGCUUUAUAUUACAUUUCUUUUUUAUAAAUUAUUUCGUUAUUAACUUAUUUUAGAAUUUGUAUUAUUUUACUGGGGCGGUAAAAGUAUAUUAAAGAUUAACUGCUUUUGUUUUGUAAAACAAUUAUAGUUGAAAAUAAAUUGAUCCAUUAUUAAUGAUCAUAAGAACAAGUUACUUUAGGGAUAACAGCGUAAUUUUUUUUGAGAGUUCUUAUCGAAAAAAAAGUUUGCGACCUCGAUGUUGAAUUAAGGUUACCUUAAGGUGCAGCAGUUUUA
rnacentral:rRNA from 1 species